rfam:Myotis davidii contig216116, whole genome shotgun sequence.
GGAAGUUCUCAAGUGAUGCACCCCAGAAUUGAGCUCCCUCCUCUCUGUUUCUGGGGUGUAUCACCCAAGAACCGCU